rnacentral:rRNA from 1 species
AUUGAACGCUGGCGGCAGGCCUAACACAUGCAAGUCGAGCGAGCGGCGGACGGGUGAGUAAUAUCUGGGAAACUGCCUGAUGGAGGGGGAGAACUACUGGAAACGGUAGCUAAUCCCGCAUACCAUCAGAUUUGCCCAGAUGGGUUUAGCUAGUCGGUGGGGUAACGGCUGACCUCGGCGCCGAUCCCUAGCUGGUCUGAGAGGUUGAACAGCCACACUGGAAGUGAGACACGGUCCAGACUCCUACGGGAGGCAGCAGUGGGGAAUAUUGCACAAUGGGCGAAAGCCUGAUGCAGCCAUGCCGCGUGUGUGAAGAAGGCCUUCGGGUUGUAAAGCACUUUAAGCGGGGAGGCGUUACCCGCAGAAGAAGCACCGGCUAACUCCGUGCCAGCAGCCGCGGUAAUAC